GGCUCGUUGGUCUAGGGGUAUGAUUCUUGCUUUGGUUGCAAGAGGGCCCGGGUUCAAAUCCUAUACGAGCCC
rnacentral:tRNA from 1 species